AAUUAAAAGUUAUAUUCUUUAAAUUUAAAGGAUUUGGCGGUAUUUUAGUCUAGUUAGAGGAAUCUGUCUCUUAAACGAUAGUACACGCAUUAUCUUGCUUAUUUUAGUGAAUCAGUUUGUAUACCGUCAUUAUAAGAUAAUUUAAGAGAGAAUAUUAUUGAGAUUAUAUUAUAUGAAUAUAUUAGAUCAAGGUGCAGCUAAUAAAUAAGAAAAGAUGGAUUACAAUAAAACUUAUUUAUACGGAUUUAAUAUUUAAACAUGUUAAUGAAGGAGGAUUUAAUUGU
rnacentral:rRNA from 1 species